GCAUGCGAUGCUGUCAAAGCCGAGCUCAACCUCGAGAAGUCGAACAUCGGUUUCAACAAUCCGUCUUCGGAGACUUUACUCCAGAAGAGCAUUUUCCACACGUUCGACACAGUUUCCCAGAUGCAGGAUAAGGCGAUGCUCAUCAUGGAGAUGCCAGGCAGGCGAGCCAACUUCAGCUGGUUCCUCUUCAACGUCCAUCUGACGGACGUAACGGGGCGCUGCUUGCCCAGAGGACCCUUCCAGCGCGUCAAGGAAUUCAAGGACUUCUACGACAACCUGGCGCAGAGACUGGCGGGUUAGCCCGACGCGUGGUUUGCGCGCGACUGUGCGGGGAAGCCAGAAACUGCUUCGUUAUUUUUUUUUCCUAAGGAGAGUUUCUUAACCACGUCAGCCGAUUCUUGUUGGCCAUCUUCGGAGCAAGCUAUACAGUAAAAUGGAGACGGGCCCAGGC